rnacentral:sRNA from 1 species
CCAAUGAAAAAAAAAUAUUAUCAGUAGGUAGGUCACUUUAUCGGCAUUAAAUAUCGAAGAAGAUCCUUACCAUUUAUCGACGCUCAGUUCUAAUUCUACCUUCUAAAAGAUUUAUUAUCAGAAUGAGAACGUGGGCUUUGAACCUUCUUCUAUUGUGUCUACCAGUUACCGUUGACACUGCGUCUAUCACGCUGAAACAAAGACACACCAAGUCCCAGUGUGACAAGGGCCUGAAAAGCUUAAAAGAUGAUGUUGUCUUUGAAGGACUCGUAGACACUCGGCCUGGCAACAUAUCGGACUUAGGUUACGUGUUAGUUGCCUUUUAUGACAUUGACAUUUAUCUUG